ensembl:lncRNA
GUGAAAACAUGGACGAUGAUUUCAAGACCUGCUGCUAUCGAAUACAGAUCGCCCCGUGAUCAAUUUAAUAGACUAUUAACGUUUAUUAAUACCUAAAGUUGGUUUAGAAAAGUAAUUUGAAGUGAUUUGUAAAAGUAUAUAGGUAACUUUUAUCAUUUUAAAAAGUGACGUUGCGUCAUGUAAAGGGGCAUUUUUCUGGAUCAGACCGGUCUUCAGCAAAUCACAUUUUGGGUAUACAAUGACUGAUUUAAUCGGGAAAAAGAUCCAAUUGUGAUGUUUAUGUGACAUAUAGGAGUGCCAAGAAAGAAGCUCGUCAAAGGAAGUCAAAGCGGACACCUACGAAGAUGGCAUCUCGGAGAGCGAGCUGACCAAGGGGUCGAAAAUGUAAAUAUUGCCAGAUGUUCAUUGUCUGAGGAACAGGCUGUGGAAGCUUUAUUCCCGGCAAAAGUGUCCAUAACCAGAGGUUAUAUCAGCUGUUUUGGUGAACUGGCUGACACAGAGGGCACAGCAUGAUCAUAGGUAUGUUUUGAUGUGAGAGAGGAAGCCAGUCUCAUCAUCGCCACCUUAACC